CCAAUAGCGUAUAUUAAAGUUGUUGCAGUUAAAAAGCUCGUAGUUGAAUUUCGGGGUUAGUAGGUUGGUCAUACCUCUGGUAUGUACUGGUCUCACUGAUUCCUCCUUCCUGAUGAGCCGUAAUGCCAUUAAUUUGGUGUUGCGGGGAAUUUGGACUGUUACUUUGAAAAAAUUAGAGUGUUUAAAGCAAGCUAACGCUUGAAUACAUUAGCAUGGAAUAAUGAAAUAGGACGUUCGAUCCUAUUUUGUUGGUUUCUAGGAUUGACGUAAUGAUUAAUAGGGAUAAUUGGGGGCAGUAGUAUUCAAUUGUCAGAGGUGAAAUUCUUGGAUUUAUUGAAGACUAACACCUGCGAAAGCAUUUGCCAAGGAUGUUUUCAUUAAUCAAGAACGAAAGUUAGGGGAUCGAAGACGAUCAGAUACCGUCGUAGUCUUAACCAUAAACUAUGCCGACUAGGGAUCGGAUGAUGUUAAUUUUUUAAUGACUCAUUCGGCGCCUUACG
rnacentral:rRNA from 1 species